AGCAGAGCUUGGGGAGGGCCCCGGCGUGCUGGGGCCGUUCAGUCGCCGCAGCCGCGGAGUGAGGGCCGAGAGUCUUCCUUAGCUUCCCCGCCAUAGGCGUCGUUUCGUAGCCGGGCUGCUCCGGGGAAGGCCUCGUACAGGAAAACUAGACAAUCCACCAGCCCAGGAGGGGACAAGCAGGAUUAAUCCUCCUCCUCGUCAUCUCUGGCUCCAGCCCCACCCUGGCCCAUCUUGGCAUUCUUCCUCUUCACGUGGCUGGGGUGGCCACCCCCAUAGGGAGGCAGAGGGAGAAGUCGAUUGCUUCUGGGAAAUCAGGCGGACGGUGAAAAACGGGAUGUUCACCACUUGCUCAUGGACACAGAUAUGACCUGGCGGAUGAGCACACAACCGUGGCGGAUGGACACACAACCGUGGCGGAUGGGCACACAACCGAGGCGGAUGGACACACAACCGUGGCGGAUGGACUUACCCAAGCCCAGCUUGAAGACCUGGGUCUGUAGGCAUCUCUCUAAGAAAUCAUCGAUCUUCAGGCCCACAAUGUAAUCCAGCUUCAUCUUUCCCUCAACCAGCUCCCCAGUGCGGACCAGCUGCUGCAGCAGGGCAGUGACUUCAAACAGAAGCCGUGGGUCCUUCUCAUCAAGUGUCAGCGGCUCCCUGGCAGCCUUGUGGAUCUUGACCAGGGUAAAUUUGACCCUCCACACCUCACAUUUGUUCUGGAGCCCAUACUCACCAAUCAGCUUCAGCUUUUGGUCGAGAUGAGAUUUCUCGAAGGGUCUCUGCGGGGUCACGGCCACCAUAACACAUCCGGGCGGGCGUGGUGGCUCAUGCCUGUCAUCCCAGCAGUCUGAGAGGCCCAGGCAGGUGGAUCACUUGAUGUCAGGAGUUGGAGACCAGCCUGGCC